CCGGAUCUAUGGAGCCUUGUACCAAGGGAAGUGAGCCCAACACAGGUCUGGGAAUUGAUGGUGAUGGGUGACAAAUGAAGCGACCACUCGUGGUGUGUGAAUGUCGUGGGAUUAGGUUCACCAUGUAUGGUUAAGAAAUUCGAAUUGAUUCGUUUGCCUCUCAUAGUUUGGGACUACUUGAUCGCUAUGCUACACUGAGUAAGAAUGAAAGAUGAUGAUGAUCUAAUAUUGUUACCUAUAUUAUUUGCUUGGAAACUAUGCUUGGUUUAGUAUAGUUGCUAACUUAGAAUGGUAAAACAACAAUAGAACUUGUGGCUAAAAUAUUGAAAGUAAGGAGUGUUCUGAUGAGGAGAACAGAGACUGAGGAUGGAGGUCAUACCAUAUCCACCGAUGUGGGAUUCGACAAGACUAGGCAGCGCCUGUACACCCACUCUCUUAUCCUCCCCUGACCUAUAAGGACCAUCCCCUUAUACUAUAAAAGGGGACGGACCCCCCGCUUCUACAGAUAUGUGCUCUCAGACUCUUCAAACACUCUCUCUCACUUGGAAGUUCUGAGACUCUUGAACGAACAUUCCCACACGCACUCUCACACACUUAGCGCACGUCUGAGCUCCUGCCACUCUCUUCCAUUUAGACGAGAACAAGGCUAGGACUAAGGCAUCCCCUCUAAUCCACCUCUCUUUUGUACCCCCACUGCAAACUUUGGGCACCUCGGCUCAAGAAUAAAGUCAACCGAAUGACCACGACUGGAUGUAGGGCGCGUUGCCCAAACCAGUAUACAUCCUAUGUCAUUGUGUGCUAAGCCAUAUCCGAUCUAACGCAUGGCAAAACUACAAAUAUUUACUGUUCGCCAGAUUUCACACCGACAUUCCUUUUAUGCUUUCUAUCUAUCAUGAUUAUGCUUGUUCCUUAGUCUAAUGCUAUAAUUUAGACUACAUAGCAUGCUUUAUGUGAUCAUCAUGAUUAGAUCUAGUAUGUUGACCCUAUAUCAUAUCUAGACAUGUUCACCCGUGUUCGUGCCCUUAAACUGCCUACGUCGAUGGGGGGAUCGUGAUGGGGUCCGCUUCCAUGUAGGGUGGGGGUUUUGGGGAUGUUGGCCAGAGGUAGUAGUUUAAAGAUUGCUUUGGAUGUGAUGCAUGAUGUGCUUGCUUAUUGGCUGGAACUACAACUAGAAGGCGAUAGGCUCUUCUUAUCCUUGGUUAUGCUAUCUCAUAUAUAUGUGUGGAUGUGAUUAACCUGAAUCAUUGAUUGCAUAUGAAGGCAAACAUAAUAGAUAACAAUUAUUUUUAAGACUAAUGUUUCUUUGAGAUUUGUUUGUUCAAGUAAUAGGUGUUGGAAGCAACCAUGUCAAGAAAAGAGGGAUGAAUGGAGGGCCUCUCUGCAAAGAAGGUGAUGAUUUGGAGGUGAUCAAGACUGGAGGCAACAAGAUUAGAAGGCCACGACACUACCAAUCUUCUCCAAUGGAUGUUGAAGAGCUUCUAAUUGACUGAUACAACCAAGGAGGAAAACUUCUCAGAUCGUCAACACAAAGUGUAGGAUCCUCCUCUGAUCCCGACACCUUAGCUAAAG
rnacentral:lncRNA from 1 species